AUGAUCACUAUAACACAAAGUCUUCAAGGCAGUCCCAAUCCAGUGACAAGAAGCAUGUUGGCUUCAGCGUUGGCUGAUGAGGCAACACAUACUACACCACAACUUGAUGUGGCCGUCACUCCAACAAGGCACAUGAUCACUAUGCCACAGAGUCUGCAAGGAAGUCCCAAUCCUGUGACAACAAGGAUGUUGGCCAUGGCAUUGGUUGAUGAGGCAUCGCAGAAACCUACCCCUACCAUGCAGGACACCAUGAUAGCAUACGACAUGGCCUCAAGCUCAAAAGCUAGAAAGUUGACCCCGAAGAGAAGGAAGUACUAG
rnacentral:rRNA from 1 species